AUAGUCAAAGGUCGUAGCAAUCUCGUUGCUUCCCUUAGCAGCAACAAUAGGCAAGGCGCUAAGAUCUCGGUCGAUCAAAAUGGAACUUGCCUCUUCCAUGGAAGUUUCCGGGUCUAUGAGAGCAAUUUCAUUAUCAUGAAGAAAUGUUACAGGGAUAUCUUGCCAUUUAUUUGAAGGAAGAUUAGUGGGAAUGGGAAAUUGUGCCAAAAAAUCUGAGACCGAGUUCACGCCAAAGGACUGACG